rnacentral:rRNA from 1 species
AGGGAACCGCCUGAACUGAAACAUCUAAGUAGGGCGAGGAAGAGACAUCAAACGAGAUUCCGUAAGUAGUGGCGAGCGAACGCGGAAGAGGGCAAACCGAGAGUAGAAAUACUUUCGGGGUACGGACUGCUUUUAAGACUCAAUCUGUUAACCGAACGGCAUGGGAAGGCCGGUCAGAGAGUGUGAGAACCACGUAGGUGAAAACGGAGAGAGCUGCGCAGGAUCCAGAGUACGGCCAGACACGUGAAACCUGGUCGGAAUACGGGGGGACCACCCUCCAACCCUAAAUACUACCCAGUGACCGAUAGCGUAUAGUACUGUGAAGGAAAGGUGAAAAGCACCCCGGGAGGGGAGUGAAAAAGAACCUGAAACCCUGUGCCUACAAGCACCUAGAGCGCGUCAAAGCGUGAUAGGGUACUUUUUGUAGAACGGUCCGGCGAGCGAUUGUAUGCAGCAAGGUUAAGGACUUAAGGUCUGGAGCCGAAGCGAAAGCGAGUUUGAAAAGGGCGUUAAGUUGCAUAUAAUGGGCCCGAAACCGGGUGACCUACCCAUGGUCAGGUUGAAGUGGAAGUAAAAUUCCAUGGAGGACCGAACCGACCUCCGUUGAAAAGGCGGCGGAUGAACUGUGGGUAGCGGAGAAAUUCCAAUCGAACCCGGAGAUAGCUGGUUCUCCCCGAAAUAGUUUUAGGACUAGCCUCAAGUUAGAUACCUGGAGGUAAAGCACUGAAUAGCCUAGCGGCCGAGAGGUUAGCGAAGCUUAUCAAACUCAGAAUGCCAGAGUAUUGAUGCUUGGGAGUCAGACAGUGUCAGAUAAAUGUCAUUGUCAAAAGGGAAACAGCCCAGAUCUACAGCUAAGGUCCCAAAGUCAGGUUAAGUGGAAAACGAUGUGAAGAUACGCAGACAACCAGGAUGUUGGCUCAGAAGCAGCCACUCAUUCAAAGAGUGCGUAAUAGCUCACUGGUCGAGCGUCUUUGCGCGGAGAAUUUAACGGGGCUAAACCUGACACCGAAGCUUAGGCAAUACAGCAAUGUAUUGGGUAGGGGAGCGUUGUAUACGCGGUGAAACAGUAGCGCAAGCGGCUGUGGAGUGUAUAGAAGUGAGAAUGCCGGAAUGAGUAGCGCGAAUGCAGUGAGAAUCUGCAUGGCCGAAAGCCUCAGGUUUCUGGAGGAAGGUUCGUCCGCUCCAGGUUAGUCGGGAGCUAAGGUGAGGCCUAACGGCGUAGCCGAUGCACAGACGGUAGAGAUUCCGUCACCACCAAAAGAGUUAAGCACAGGGACACAUUUGAAGUCUCAGAGCCGGGUGUUGGUUCCGGUAGAGAUCGAGGGAAAUUAGUACCGAAGUCUGAGAUGGAAGAUGGCGAGAAAAGCUGUGUGUAUUUCUGAGGUGCCCGUACCGCAAACCGACACAGGUAGGUAGGAAGAAGAUUCUAAGGCCAACGGGAGAAGGGUUGUUAAGGAACUCGGCAAAUUGACCCCGUAACUUCGGGAGAAGGGGUGCUCCAGAGAUGGAGCCGCAGAGAAUCGGCCCAAGCAACUGUUUACCAAAAACACAGGUUUGUGCUAAAUCGAAAGAUGACGUAUACGAGCUGACGCCUGCCCGGUGCUGGAAGGUUAAGAGGAGAUGUGCAAGCAUUGAAUCGAAGCCCCAGUGAACGGCGGCCGUAACUAUAACGGUCCUAAGGUAGCGAAAUUCCUUGUCAGGUAAG